UACUGAGGUCCCAAGCGUUGUUCGGAUUUACUGGGCGUAAAGGGUGCGUAGGCGGUUGGGUAAGUCUGACGUGAAAUCUCCGGGCCUAACCCGGGAACUGCGUUGGAUACUAUUUGACUAGAGGAAUGGAGGGGAGAGUGGAAUUCUUGGUGUAGCAGUGAAAUGCGUAGAUAUCAAGUGGAACACCAGUGGCGAAGGCGAGUCUCUGGACAUUUCCUGACGCUGAGGCACGAAAGCCAGGGGAGCAAACGGG
rnacentral:rRNA from 1 species